AACCUGCCCAAGAGAUCGGGAUAACACCUGGAAACAGAUGCUAAUACCGGAUAACAACAGAUGAUGCCUAUCAACUGUUUAAAAGAUGGUUCUGCUAUCACUCUUGGAUGGACCUGAGGUGCAUUAGCUAGUUGGUAGGGUAACGGCCUACCAAGGCGAUGAUGCAUAGCCGAGUUGAGAGACUGAUCGGCCACAUUGGGACUGGGACACGGCCCAAACUCCUACGGGAGGCAGCAGAC
rnacentral:rRNA from 1 species